GACGAACGCUGGCGGCGUGCCUAAUACAUGCAAGUCGAACGGGGAAAGCUUUCGGGUGAGUACUAGUGGCGCACGGGUGAGGAACGCGUGGGUAAUUUUCCUUGAAGUGGGGGAUAACUAGUCGAAAGAUUAGCUAAUACCGCAUAAGACCACGAAAUCUGAGGAUUUUGAGGUAAAAGGUUUUUCGCUUCAAGAUAAGCCCGCGUAAGAUUAGCUAGUUGGUGAGGUAAUGGCUCACCAAGGCGACGAUCUUUAGCUGGUCUGAGAGGAUGAUCAGCCACACUGGAACUGAGACACGGUCCAGACUCCUACGGGAGGCAGCAGUAGGGAAUAUUGCACAAUGGAGGAAACUCUGAUGCAGCGACGCCGCGUGAGUGAUGAAGGACUUCGGUUCGUAAAGCUCUGUCGCAUGGGAAUAAUAAAUGAAGGUACCAUGCAAGAAAGGAUCGGCUAACUUCGUGCCAGCAGCCGCCGUAA
rnacentral:rRNA from 1 species